CAUUUGCUAUUCAAACCAACCAGUGACUUCAAAAGGACAAUAACAAUUUUAGUUUCAGUUUACUUAAUGUAAGCCUGUGCUUUUUGAUGGUAAUUAUUCAGAAAGUUCUGUGACUUUGUUACUCAGUUUGCUUUUGGAUAGCAAUGAUAAAAUUAUAAUGCUAAGAAGGAAAAUUCAAUUACUUAGCAUAUUUGUAGAGUAAUCACAGUAUAUUAAGUAUGUGUUGGAUGCCAGAGAUAUAAAGAUAAGGAAGAUGUAGUACUUGCCAUCAUGAAGACCAGUAUCCAAUGAGAACAAAACAAAAUGGUACAAUCCUAACAGAGGUUUGAACUACAGGUAUGGGAUAAAGAGGAAAGGCUUCUUAAGACUGUCAUUUAAAUUGAGCUGAAAUAUACGUGUGUGUGUGUGGACUCAUUUAAAUUGAGCUGAUAUAUACUUGUUUUCCUUUUUUGUCCAGCCAGGGAGAUGUGCAGGUAUACCUUCUUUUAUUGGACUUUGCAGAUAUUGUAUUUUUCACAAAUUGAAGGUUUGUUGCAACUCUGCGUCUAUUGGCAGCAUUUGCUCAUUUUGUGUCCGUCUGUCACAUUUUGGUAAUUCUUGUAAUAUUUCAAACCUUUCCGUUAUUAUUAUAUUUGUUAUGGUGAUCUGUGAUCAGUGAUCUUUGAUGUUACUGUUGUAACUGGGGCCAUCAGAGAGGGCAUCCGUAUAAUACCAACUUAAUAGAUAAAUGUGGCUGUUCUGACUGCUCCACUGACCAGCCAUUCCUUGGUGUCUCUCCUUGUUCUCAGGCAUCCCUAUUCCUUGAGACACAAUAGUAUUGAAAUCAGGCCAAUUAUUAGCCCUGCAAUGGCCUUGAGGUAUUCAAGUGAAAGGAAGAGUUGCACAUCUCUCACUCUAAAUCAAAAACUAGAAAUGAUUGUGCUUAGUGUCAAAAUGUGAGAUAGGCUAGAGGCUAGACCUCCUGCUCCACACAGGGAGCCUAGUUGUGAAUGCAGAGGGAAAGUUCUUGAAGAAGAUCGAAAGUGCUGCUCCAGUGAACACACGAAUGAUAAGAAAGCAAAACAGCCUUAUUGCCGACAUGGAGUAAGUUUUAGGGGUUUGGAUAGAAGAUCAAGACCCCUAAAACCUGAUCUUCCCUUAACAUUUCUUUCAGCCAAAGCCUAAUCCAGAGUAAGGACCUAAUUCUUCAAUUCUGUGAAGGCUGAGAUAGGUGGUGAAGUUGAAGUUUGAAGGUAGCAGAGGUUGAUUCAUGGGCUUUAAAGAAAAUAAUCUCUCUAACAUAGAAGUGCAAAGGGAAGCACCAAGUGCUGAUGUAGAAGCUGCAGCAAGUUAUCCAAAAGAUCUAGCUAAGAUAAUGAAUGAAGAUGGCUAGACUAAAAAACAGAUUUUCCAUAUAGAGGAAAUAGCCUUAAGUUGGAAGAUGUUAUCUAGGACGUUCAUAGUUAGAGAGGAGAAGUCAGUGCCUGGUUAAAGCUUCAAAGGACAGGCUGGCUUGCUUGUUAGGGGCUAAUGCAACUGGUGACUUUAAGUUGAAACCAAUGCGCAUUUACCAUUUCGAAAGUCCUAGAGCCCUUAGGAAUUGUGCUCAUUCUACUCCACCCUGCUCUAUAAGUGGAACAACAGAGUCUGAAUGACAGUACAUCUAUGGACAAUGCAAUUUACUGAAUAUUUUAAGCCCACUGUUGAGACCUACUGCUCAGAAAAAUGAGAUUCCUUUCCAAAUAUGCCUGCUCACUGAUAAUACACCUGGUCACCGAAGAGCUCUGAGGGAGAUGUGCAGUGAGAUGAGUGUUGUUUCAAUGCCUGCUGAACAACAUCCAUUCUACAGUCCACGGAUUAAGGAGUCACUUCACCUUUAAAGUCUUAUUUAAGAAAUGCAUUUCAUAAGGCUACAGUUGCCAUAGAUAGUGAUUCCUCUGAAGGAUCUGAGUAAAAUAUGUUGAAAACCUAGAAAGGCUUCACCAUUCUAGAUUCCAUUAAGAACACUGGUGAUUCAUAGGAAGGGGUCAGAAUAUCAACAUUAACAGGAGUUUGGAAGAAGCUGAUUCCAAUCCUCAUGGAUGAUUUUAAGAGGUUAAAGACCUCAGUGGAGGAAGUAACGCAGAUGUGAAAGAAAUGCAAGAGAACUAGAAUUUGCCGUGGGCCCUGGAGUUGUAACCUAAUUGCUGCCAUCUCCUGAUAAAACUUGAGUGGAUGAGAAGCUGCUUCCUAGGGAUGAACAAAGAAAGUGGUUUCUUGAGAUAGAAUCUAUUCAUGGUAAGGAUGUGAAGAUUGUUGAAAUGACAAAAAGGGAUUUAGAAUAUUGCAUAAAUUUAGUUGAUAAGGUACCAGCAGCGUUUGAGAAGAUUGCCUUUGAUUUUGACAAAGUUCUGUUGUGGGUAAAAAGCUAUCAAACAGCAUUACGUGCCACAGAGAAAUUGUUAUCAAAGGAAGGGUCAAUCCAUGUGGCAAGAUUCACUGUCUUUUGUUAAGAAAUUGCCACAGUCAGCCCAACCUUCAGAACCACCACCACCCUGAUCAUUUUAGCAGUUGUCCACAUGGAGAUAAGACCCUCCACUAGAAAAAGAUGAGGACUUGCUGAAUGCUCAGGUGGUGGUUGCCCAUUUUUUAGCAAUAAUGUAUUUUUUAAUUAAGGUAUGUGCAUUAUUUUUUUUAGACAUAAUGCUAUUGCAUAGUUAAUAGACUACAGUAUACUGUAAACAUAAUUUAUAUGCACUGGGAAACCAAAACAUUUGUGUGACUCAACUUUAUUGUGACAUUCAUUUUAUUGAGGUGUUCUGAAACAGAACCUUCCUUAUCUCAGAGGUAUGCCUGUAUUUAAUUUAUCCACUGGCUUUACUAAGUUAUGUAAGAUAAAAGGAAAUUAUAGGGACAUUAAUCCCCUUUAUAACACCCAGGAAAGUAAAGCUGACUAUUGAUUACAAGGCAAUAUGCAAAGUGCUUUCAUAUGCAUUAUUUGGUUUACUCAGCCAUUUAUGAUAGCAGAACUGAAGCUCAGAAUCUUGUGGACUCGUAUUACACAGCUAAUUCAUUAAAUAAGUGGAGGAAAAGUUGAUUUGAUCACUCUCUUUAGAUUAUAGGCAGCUCCCAGUUCGAUUUGGGUUUUUUCACAAGCUAUUUCCUAAAAAUCCUGGGGUCUGGUGGUUUGUAAUCCUAGUGGUUUGGAAAUUUUAGUGUACUUCAGAAUAACCUGGAUAACUUAUGAAAACAGACUUCUAGCUUCUAUCCUCAGAGUUUCUGAUUUAGUAGGUCUAGGAUGGAGCCUUGGAACUUGGGUUCACAGAUCACACUUUGAGAACCAGUGUUACAGAUUUAAAAAGGCUUAUUUGUCUAAGUGUUAAUGUCUAAAAUGCACGUGUGGAUGAAUACAAAUUUACAUCUUUUUCUUUCCUCAUAUAGCAAUUAUCUCUAUCCCAUUUGCUUCCUACGAUUGGGAAAUAAGUCAGAAAGGGAAAACAAAUACCAUAUGAUAUCACUUAUAUCUGGAAUCUAAUAUAAGCACAAAUGAACCUUUCUACAGAAAAGAAGCAAACUCCUGGACUUGGAGAACAAACUUGUAUAGUUUCCAAGGAGGAGGGAGUCAGAUGGACUGGGAGUUUGGGGUUAGUAGAUGUAAACUAUUGCAUUUGGGGCGGAUAAGCAAUGAGAUCCUGCUGUAUAGCACAGAGAACUCUAUCUAGUCACUUGUGAUGAAACAUGAUGGAGGAUAAUGUGAGAAAAAGAAUGUGUGUGUGUGUAUAUAUAUAUAUAUAUAUGCACACACGAAUGGGUCACUUCACUAUACAGCAGAAAUUGACAGAACAAUGUAAAUCAACUAUAAUAGAAAAAAUAACCUCCAUAAAAAUAAAGGACACAGUGAACUCUUUAGGAUGGCUAUUAUAAACUACACAGAAAGUACAAGUGAUGGUGAGAAUGCAGAGAAAUUGGAAUCCUUGUGCACUGCUGAUGGGAAUACAAAAUUGUGAAUCUAUAGUGGGAAGACAGUCUGGUAAUUCAGCAAAAAAAAACCAAAAAAAAAAAACCAAAAAAAAAAAA
rnacentral:lncRNA from 1 species